UACGUAGGGUGCGAGCGUUGUCCGGAAUUAUUGGGCGUAAAGAGCUUGUAGGCGGUUUGUCGCGUCUGCUGUGAAAAUCCGGGGCUCAACCCCGGACUUGCAGUGGGUACGGGCAGACUAGAGUGUGGUAGGGGAGACUGGAAUCCCUGGUGUAGCGGUGGAAUGCGCAGAUAUCAGGAGGAACACCGAUGGCGAAGGCAGGUUUCUGGGCCAUUACUGACGCUGAGAAGCGAAAGCAUGGGGAGCGAACAGG
rnacentral:rRNA from 1 species